UUAAAGUCUGUCCUGCCCACUGAAAUUUUUAAAUGGCCGCAGUAUUCUAACUGUGCAAAGGUAGCAUAAUCAUUAGUCUUUUAAUUGAAGGCUGGAAUGAAUGGUUGGACGAAAUAUUAACUGUUUCAUUUUAAUUUUUUAUAGAAUUUUAUUUUUUAGUCAAAAAGCUAAAAUAAUAUUAAAAGACGAGAAGACCCUAUAAAUCUUUAUAUUUAAUUUAUUUUUAUUAUAAAGAUUAAUUUUAUUUAAAUAAAUUUAAAUAUUUUAUUGGGGUGAUAUUAAAAUUUAAAAAACUUUUAAUUUUUAAAAACAUUAAUUUAUGAAUAAUUGAUCCAGUAAUAUUGAUUAAAAAUUUAAGUUACUUUAGGGAUAACAGCGUAAUUUUUUUGGAGAGUUCAUAUCGAUAAAAAAGAUUGCGACCUCGAUGUUGGAUUAAGAUAUAAUUUUGGGUGUAGCCGUUCAAAUUUUAAGUCUGUUCGACUUUUAAAUUCUUACAUGAUCUGAGUUCAAACCGGCGUAAGCCAGGUUGGUUUCUAUCUUUAAUAAAUUGUAAUAUUUUAGUACGAAAGGACCAAAUAUUAAAAUAAUUAUAUUUUAAUAAAGAAUAUUAUUAAUUAAU
rnacentral:rRNA from 1 species